UUUUGUAUACCGCCACAAGAAAAUAAAGAACAAUGCUGAAAGGUAUACAAUUAAUAAUAACAAUAAAAUAUAACAAGGGGAAAAUAGAAAAAAAAGUCUUAAGGUAUUACUUUUGUUUUGCGAUUCUUCUCGUGCGCGAGGCCGGUCUCUUUAGGUCGACAGUCUUGGUCGAUGCGGUCUUCUCAAGCAACGGAGAUUUCUGAGGUGUUGAGCAGGAGAUGCCUUCAAGGUCUGAGAGGCACUCGGCUUUGUGACGUACACCAUUCGCCGCAAUAAUAUGUAUGAUGCCAUCUCGAGUCCAGCAGUUGACUACUCCAAAGCGUUGUCUUGCCUCUAAGAAGACCUCAUGACGAGACCUGGUCAAAAACUCGGACAGAGUAAUCCCGGUACCCUUAAGCUUAGUCUUGGCAAACCAUACCAUAUCGUGAACUGCGACAUCCGUAAAUUUGACAACAACCGGUCUGGGCUUUUUGUCUAAGGGACGACCUAGGCGGUAACAUGUCUUAAUGCUGAUUUCUCUUCUGGGAUGCCAUGUAUUAGGAGCAUUUUGCGCCUGUUCCUCAUUUCAAGGCGAUCCAAGUCCUUAGCCAAAACCUCGACCUGCCGCUGUAAAGCAUUCAAUGCCGAAAUAACAAAUUCCUUGAAUGAAGCGAACUGUGAAGCCAACGAAGAUGUAGACUGUGGCGAGUGAUUCUGCGUUCCCUUCUGCAUAUCCUUCUCAAAUUCGUUCAUUCUAUUGUUGAACGACACAGCCAAUGAUGAAAUUGAAUCCUUGAUGGAGUCCAUUGUUAGUGGUAUAGUGAAAAUUCAAUGUGGACAAUAUUAGCUGGCAGGUAGCACGGUAUGAUAUUACAUAAAAUGCAUUCAAAGUCCGACUAAAUAAAGUUUAUUAAAUUAUUUUCGAUUUAAAAUUAAGAGCACUAUAAAAGUAUGUGUUGACACUUUAACUUCUACCCGCCGAAAA